CCUGGCGGCCUUAGCGCGGUGGAACCACCUGAUUCCAUGCCGAACUCAGAAGUGAAACGCCGUAGCGCCGAUGGUAGUGUGGGGUCUCCCCAUGCGAGAGUAGGACACUGCCAGGC
rnacentral:rRNA from 1 species